rnacentral:rRNA from 1 species
AACGAACGCUGGCGGCAGGCCUAACACAUGCAAGUCGAACGAGUAAGAGCCGUAGCAAUACGGAGUUCUGCUAGUGGCGCACGGGUGAGUAACGCGUGGGAACGUGCCUUGGAGUUCGGGAUAACAGUUGGAAACGACUGCUAAUACCGAAUAUUCCCUCAGGGGAAAGAUUUAUCGCUCCAAGAUCGGCCCGCGUAAGAUUAGGUAGUUGGUGGGUAAGUGGCCUACCAAGCCUACGAUCUUUAGCUGGUCUGAGAGGACGACCAGCCACACUGGAACUGAGACACGGUCCAGACUCCUACGGGAGGCAGCAGUGGGGAAUAUUGGACAAUGGGCGAAAGCCUGAUCCAGCCAUGCCGCGUGAAUGAUGAAGGCCUUAGGGUUGUAAAAUUCUUUUGUCAGGGGAAGGAUAAAUGACGGUACCCUGCGAAUAAGCUCCGGCUAACUUCGUGCCAGCAGCCG